AAUCAGGAGACAAGGGGUCUUCAGGACAUGAUGGCCCCCCAGGGUCCACAGGAGAGAGAGGUCCACAAGGGCCUCAGGGACGUGUAGGUGAGGUGGGCCCCAAGGGACCCAAUGGGCCUGCUGG